rnacentral:rRNA from 1 species
UACAGAGACCUCAAGCGUUAUCCGGAAUCAUUGGGCGUAAAGCGUACCGAUAGGUGGUUUAGAAAGUCAGAUGUGAAAUUCCAAGGCUCAACCUUGGGACUGUCAUUUGAAACUUCUAAACUAGAGGGGCAAAGAGGAAGCUGGAACGAACGGUGUAGUAGUGAAAUGCGUUGAUAUCGUUCGGAACACCAAUAGCGAAGGCAGGCUUCUGGGUGCCACCUGACACUGCUAGGACGAAAGCGUGGGGAGCGAAUGGG